rnacentral:rRNA from 11 species
GCUUCACAGUGGACUCUGAUAUUACUUGUGUAGGAUAGCUGGGAGGCUUUGAAACCUAGGCGCUAGCUUAGGUGGAGCCAAUCUUGAAAUACCAGCCUGGUACUAUUGGGGUUCUAACUCUGGACCAUUAUCUGGUUCGAGGACAUUGUGUGGUGGGUAGUUUGACUGGGGCGGUCUCCUCCCAAAGUGUAACGGAGGAGCACGAAGGC